UGGGGAAUUUUGGACAAUGGGCGAAAGCCUGAUCCAGCAAUGCCGCGUGUGUGAAGAAGGCCUUCGGGUUGUAAAGCACUUUUGUCCGGAAAGAAAUCCUUGGCUCUAAUACAGUCGGGGGAUGACGGUACCGGAAGAAUAAGCACCGGCUAACUACGUGCCAGCAGCCGCGGUAAUACGUAGGGUGCAAGCGUUAAUCGGAAUUACUGGGCGUAAAGCGUGCGCAGGCGGUUUGCUAAGACCGAUGUGAAAUCCCCGGGCUCAACCUGGGAACUGCAUUGGUGACUGGCAGGCUAGAGUAUGGCAGAGGGGGGUAGAAUUCCACGUGUAGCAGUGAAAUGCGUAGAGAUGUGGAGGAAUACCGAUGGCGAAGGCAGCCCCCUGGGCCAAUACUGACGCUCAUGCACGAAAGCGUGGGGAGCAAACAGGAUUAGAUAUCCUGGUAGUCCACGCCCUAAACGAUGUCAACUAGUUGUUGGGGAUUCAUUUCCUUAGUAACGUAGCUAACGCGUGAAGUUGACCGCCUGGGGAGUACGGUCGCAAGAUUAAAACUUAAAGGAAUUGACGGGGU
rnacentral:rRNA from 1 species